GGAUGUGCUGGCAAUCUGGCCCUCGUGUGUGCUGCCCCACUGAACACAGGGUUGAUUCUGCUGAUCUGGGUGGCAAGUCCUGUGGCCCUUCCUCCCUCUUACACCUGCAGAUGAGGAAAAUGAGCUUUUCCAAGCAUCCCUGGAUGGUCUUUGGUCAAAAAUAUAUAAGUAGCGGUGCUCCCCUGCCAGUGCCUUCAGGCAAGCAGCCUGAGUAGGUUUCACUUAACAAAAUCCAGAUGUUGAGGUCUUGGGUCACAGGAUACACCCCAAC
rnacentral:snRNA from 1 species